UUUGACUCCGUGGCCUCGAAGGAUAGAACGACUAGGCCGAACGACGGACCUAACACAUGACAAGGUCGGAGGGGGCAGCAACAGUUAAGGUAGCAAUUACGUUUUGGGUGGCGACCGGCGCGACGGGUGAGUACACGUAUGCAAUCUACCUGUAAGCGGGGGAUAACCCGGAGAAAUUCGGACUAAUACCGCAUAACACCACGAAUUCGCAUGAAUUUGUGUGUUAAACAUUUAUGGCUUACAGAUGAGCAUGCGUAUGAUUAGAUAGUUGGUAGGGUAACGGCCUACCAAGUCUGCGAUCAUUAGGGGUUCUGAGAGGAAGGUCCCCCACACUGGUACUGAGACACGGACCAGACUCCUACGGGAGGCAGCAGUGAGGAAUAUUGGUCAAUGGGCGAGAGCCUGAACCAGCCAAGUCGCGUGAAGGAAGAAGGUUCUAUGGAUUGUAAACUUCUUUUGUAAGGGAAUAAAGUACACUACGUGUAGUGUUUUGUAUGUACCUUACGAAUAAGGAUCGGCUAACUCCGUG
rnacentral:rRNA from 1 species